CCGCUGCACUCGGCCGGGCGUCACCCGCAGCCCUCAGUUGGGAGCAGCAUCCCCUUUCCAAGUGAGAACUGAACCGUGCACUCUCUGGAGUCCUUCACUACUGCUUGGCUGGCUGGGUAGUAGCUGAUGGAUGAGUGUCCUUCCUGGCCAGCCACUGUGCUGUUUCUCCUGCACUCCCAGCAGAGAAUGAGAGACCAAGGAUGUUCCAUGUGCCCCUGUGGAGCACAGCUGCACUGCCAAAUGAAGGUGACCUGAGCAACAGUGAGUUUGCUAUGGGAUUGGACUGCACUUCCAAAAGGAAGUUUAGGACUACAGUUCUCUAUUUAAGAUGUGACAAACAAAUACUAUUUCUUCCUUUACCUCCCUUCUUAUUUUCUCACAUAUGAAAAAAAGUCCACAAAAUGGCCUGGCAAUGGGA
rnacentral:lncRNA from 1 species